rnacentral:lncRNA from 1 species
CAGCUGGAGAGAUGAGGUGGUUGGCUCACACACAAUAGGCCCUGAAAGUGCCUCUAGUCCUUCUCCAGCUGUACCAAAUUAACUUGGCAUCCGUCUGUACAGUGGGACUCUGUGGCAUUACAGAGCAUCCUCAACCCGCUGUUAGUCUCAACUUGACCUGAGAGACCCCAUCAGUCCCAACUCUCUGCUUGUCUGUCCCCAGUGUGUUCAACUGAAAUCCUUCUGGAAAGGAAGGCUGUAUUCUUGUUGGAUCUUUAACAAAAGAAGCCAGAAAGUUUCCCAGAGUCUCUGAAUCUAUACUCCAAGUCAAGAGGGGAGAAAAAAAGUAUUAACCUAAUUUAGCUGUAUUUUAGGACACAAAUACUGGGACCCUAGAAGCCCAAAUUAUGCUUCUGGCUAUAGGUUUUCUGGAGAAAACAAAACAGCUCAACCUGGGCACGUGUGCAAGAAGGGCACAGGCUGUUCCCUAAGAAUCCUGUAGCUCUGGACCCUUCAAUGAGCAAGUCUGUCAGAAAAAACACAUGUGACCAUAUUCUGUGAGACGUAUACAUUUGUAGGAUGCUUUGGGCUCAGGAACUUUUCAAAGAGUUUCCUGUCUUGAAGGCAUUGGGAUGGUAGAAAGGGCAGGACCAAAGGUAUGGGGAGAGGGGACCAUUGAGUGCAGACCCUGCCUUUCUCCAGCCUCCAAAACAUCUCAUGUGGAAACACCAUUCCCUACUUCAAAGCCAGAGUUACGGAAAGUCACUCCACAGUCACUCACAAGGGACUCUAUUUCUAAAGCAUUAUAAGGCUUAUAUAUUAUGCAUUUUAUUUGAUUAACAUUGGUACUGGACACAGGCUCACAACUUCUGUAAAGGAAGCUGGAAUAUUUUAGCAGUAUACCAACUGGAAUUCUUUCCCACAGGCCCAGGAAGAUAUCUUAGUCCUCUGCCAAUGAGCAUCUCUGCAGGCCUAGAGGAAGCCAGCUCUAUUCUUAUUGGCCACAGUUUUAUUCCUUAGAGUGGUAUAGGACAAAGUCUUGCUGAAUGGCUAUGGUGGAAACAGGGACUUUCUUUCUUUUUCUAUAAAAAAUAAAAAGCCAAGGGGGGAAAAACACCAUUUUUUUUCCCUCUGUUGCUAUAUAACAAAUUACUCUUUUUUUUAAAUUUUCUCUUUUUUGGGUAACAUAGAUUGAACCCAG